AAUUUUCAAUUUUUAUUUUCUUUUUUAAUUUUUUAAUAUUUAAAUAAUUCACUCUUUUGUUCAUGAAAUUUUCCUUUUUCAUUAAAAAUUUCUGUUCUUUUAGAUUGUUUGAUAAGAAAGAAAAUGUUUAUGAAAUAAAUAAAUCAACAUAAUAUAUAAUAAUAUAGAAAGAAUUAUAUAAAAGUUGAGUAUGGAGAGAUAUACAGUAUAUGUGAAAUAUAUGUAUAGUCUAAGGUUUUUAUCCAUAAAAAAUAAAAUCUGGAUGUUUUAUAUAAUAAAUUAACGUUUAUACAGCUAAAUGUUUAAUUUAUAAUGGAAAUUCCAUUAAAUAAAUAUGUACACUCCCUCCCCUCUUUUAUUCUGUGUAAUAAAUGUAACAAAGAAGUGUUGAUGAUUACUGAUAAUUGUAUAGGAAAGACAAUUGUGCAAAUAUAUAUAUAUAUAUAUAUAUAUAUAUAUAUUGUUUUUAUAGUAAUUAAAUAUAUUACACAAUUAUAUAAUAUUUAGUUAAAAUGUAUAUAUUGUGUAUAUAUAUAUCAUAACUUUUGAGUUAUAUAUAUAAUAUUAUGUAAGGAUAAAAGGGGGUGGUGGUGGAAAUGUUAUUGAAUAUAUCACAAAUGUUUUGUGAAAUACAUGAUACUUUUAAUGUAUAUGUAGCGUAUUUUUUGUAAGCCCUUUUAAAGGUUUUACGCGCCUUUAAAGGUGGGGAAGUAAAUAUAUUUUAAUUGUUCGGUUUAAUUUACUGUUCAAGAGGAUGAAUAUAUAAAGAUCUUUUAUUUCGUAAGAAAUAUUAGGUUGAACUAUCUCUGAAUAAAUUUCAUAGUAGUAAGUGUGUGUAUUAUAGUUUAUUUUGUAAUACACAUUUACUGUUAUGAAAUUUAUAUGUGAAAAGUCGUAUGUGUAUGUUUAGAAUGGAGAGGGUUACACAUGUGUACCCUUAUGUUUAAAAGCCUUGUAAAGGUUUUACGCGCCUUUAAAGGUGGGGAAGCAAAUAUAUUUUAAUUGUUCGGUUUAAUUUUACUGUUCAAGAGGAUGAAUAUAUAAAGAUCUUUUAUUUCAUAAGAAAUGUUAGGUUGAGCUAUCUCUGAAUAGAUUUCAUAGUAAUAAGUGUGUAUACUAUAGUUUAUUUUGUAGUAUACACAUUUACUAUUAUGAAAUUUAUAUGUGAAAAGUCGUAUCUGGAUGUUUAGGAUGGAAGUUUAAACAAAGUACCCCUUAUUUUUAAAAAUCCUUGUAGAGGUUUUGCGCGCCAUUAAAGGUGGGGAAGUAAAUAUAUUUUAAUUGUUCGGUUUAAUUUACUGUUCAAGAGGAUGAAUAUAUAAAGAUCUUUUUAUUUCGUAAGAAAUAUUUAGGUUGAGCUGUCUCUAAAUAAAUUUCAUAGUAGUAAGUGUGCAUUUAUAGUUUAUAUUGUAAUGUGCAUUUACUAUUAUGGAAUUUAUAUGUCAAAAAGGUCGUAUUUUAAUGUUUAGGUUGGACGAAUAAACAGGUGUACCCUUAUUUUUAAAAAUCCUUGUAAAGGUUUUGCGCGCCUUUAAAGGUGGGGAAGUAAAUAUAUUUUAAUUGUUCGGUUUAAUUUUACUGUUCAAGAGGAUGAAUAUAUAAAGAUCUUUUAUUUCGUAGAAAAUAUUAGGUUGAGCUAUCUCUUACUUAAUUAUCAUAUGGUAAAUAUAAAACUAGUUUUUUUUUUUUUUUAUAAACUGGUUUUUAUUUAUCAUGUGAUAAUUAAUUUUAAAUAGUCGUAUGUUUUAUUAAAACCCUUUGGAGAGUAUUACUAGCCUUCAAAGGUAGAGGUGUAAAGAACAUAUUUUGAUCUAUUCCUGUAUGAUCAAAAUAUCCUCAAUAUAUCUUUUAUGUAUACCUUGUAGGUUACUUCUUAAUUAAUCAAUACAUAAAUGUAUAUAUAUGAUGUGGCUAUUUUUAUAGCAUGUUGUAUAUAUAUUAUUAUAGAGGUGAUUAAUAAAAAUUCAGUACAAGAGGUGUGGUUGGUCGGCAAAUAGAAACGAUAUAAUUAUUUUUAAUAAUUAUAGAAAUCCUUAUAGAGGCCAUUGACGAGGCUAUAAAGGUGGGGUGCAUACAUAUAUUUAUAUAAAAGGAUAUAAAUAUAUCUAGUUUAUUAAAUAAAAUGGACAAUAUAAAAUUUGUUCUUGUUUUUUUUUAAUAAAUCUAGGAUGCACUUUUAAGGUUGAUUUAUUCAUUGUCCUUACAAUAAUAAAAAAAAAUACAUAUAUAUAUAUAUAUAUAUAUAUAUAUAUAAUGAUGUGGUGAAAACUUAUCAUUAUAUAUAUAUAUAUAUAUAUGUAUUUUUUUUUAUUAUUGUAAUUAUAGAGUGAUUUUCUAUAAUACAAAGAAUUUCAACUGAACAAGAAAUAUCGUUAUCCCUUUGACGUAUAAAAAGCCUCGUGGGUAUAACGCACCAAGAGAGGUGGAGAAUAACUACAUUUGAGUUUUUAUUAUGAAGGAAAAAUAAACGUUUCUCAUAUAAAAGCACACAAUAUAUAUAUGUAUAUAUUAUAGUAGUCUUUUUAUCAAAUGGUAUGUUAUUCUUCGAGUUGUUUGCGAAUAUAAAUAAUUAUAAUGUUUUUUGCGAACACUGUAGACAUAAAAAUGUAUUUAUGUUUUUUUUUAUAUGUUUAUAUAAAACUACAGUUAGUAGUGUAUGGUUAUAUAUUAGUAGUAUUCAACAAGAAGUCGGUAUGUUCAAUAAAUAAAUUCUUUUUAAGGUUUA
rnacentral:sRNA from 1 species